GCUGGCUGUGGGGGGGAGGAGGAGGUACUCUGCUAGCUCCUGAGGAGGGACAGUCUGCGCUCCAGAGGCCAGCCAAGCUGGGAAGCGUCCUGGUGCCCAGACAGAGUAUCUCACAGGCGGGGAACAGACUGGAGGAUCCCUGAAGUGGAGAACCUGCGGUUUAUGCUGAUUCAACUUGGGAAGAGCUCUCAGAGUGCGGGGGAGGCAGGGAAGGAAGGCAGGCAGCACAACUGCCAUUGCUCACAUUCCCUGGAGAGCACAGCCAAGUUGCUUCUGAUGAACCACAACCUAGAAGCUAGAAAUGCUGAUCCCUUGAGCAGCCCACUGGUAACAGGUGCAGACUGCGGGUCCUCAGCAGGAACAGGUUCAGGGACAUGAUCCUGCCAUUUGUCAUAUGAAGGUUCAUCUUACCUUCUUUUACAGAAAGCCGUGACUUCCAGUAAGCUCCCAACAGGUGCCGGGACAUCUGCUGCAUCCUUCAGCAAGAUGCAGUGUGACUCACCAGCACCCCCUAGUGGCUAGUACUAAGGGGACAGCUAUUUCCUGACCCUGGCCCCAGCCAUCCUCACCCAGGCUGGGGUGUCAUGUGGGCUGGUGCUGGAAUGAAAGUCAUGGGGGGGUGGGGGGGGUCUUGAAAGUCCUGCAGGACUUUCAGUGCUCAGGCUGAUGCGCCUCCCCCAGACACCUCAGGCAAGAGUCGUGGUGGUCACUAUUUGGCAUGGGCUUGUGGCAUACACUGCAUGACUUACAGCCUUGGGCUCACAGCAUGCCCCAGAGCCCAAGCAGAGGCGAGGGGAUGGGGACGAUUCCUGCUCCCCAACCUCUAUGCUAACUAUACUAAACUACACUAACAACUACUAUACAAGAAACAGAGAACUAGAUAGUAAGCUAAGGGAGCACUUGCAAGGCAAGCAAGAGGCAGUUCCAAUGGCUGGCAUGGAUGGUAAGAAGGAAC